CAGGUACAUGAAAUUCCUACACAAAAUUGUUCACGUUACUUCACAGCUGUUGAACCAUUUUAGUGCUAGAGAUAAACCCAUAUUUUUCUCAAAAGAACCAGUUAAGACUUAUCUUUCCAAGCCAAAAGAGAAGUGGGAACUGAGCUAGGGCGAUGAAGAGGAGGAGGUAAUGAUGCCGGCUUGAAUCAUACGUUCUCACCUCUGCAAAAAGAACUCUCUUCAUUGUCUUCACUAAGAAUAUUCCCAUGCAUAAGCUUGUCCAUGGCAUCAAGAAGUAGUAUGAAUGGCUCCAUAUAAUUGUUCCAAGUAGAGCUAUGGACAAUCCUGCAAAAGCAUAUCCAGCGUAUGACACAAUGUCAAGGAGAGGAGCCUCUCCACUACCCAGUGAGAACAAUGUCAUCUUCAGCAAGGAAACCUCUAAAAACCAACCAACUAGCCCCUUGAUGAAUAGCCAAUUUAGAGCUUCAGGGGUAAACCUUCCCUGGAGACCCAAUGAUAAACCGGCAAGAACAACGUAGGUACCAAAUGCCAUGAAUGGGAUGUACAAAUCUGGAGCAUUUAUAUCAAAGAUAGGGGGCUUAUAGGAUAGCCUACCACCUACCGGCUCUGUGAUUCUUGUCCAAUGACCUCUGUGUAGGAAUGGGAAAAGCACAACUUUCAAUUUGUUUCUCACGUACUGGUCAUUCACUUGGAAAUAGUACUGGGGAUCGGAAAAAUACCUACUUAUAUUGCUUUGAACAUAUUCAGAACUGGAACCAAGGAUUUUUUCUCCAUAAGCCCCUAGUCCACUUCUGAUGAACCCUGAGCUACCACCAGAGAAGGCAUUUCCAAAAGGAUUUGCCUGUGUAUUAACAGGCGGUCUUGGCACCCCGGAUUGUGCUCCCAGGUUAUCAUACAUUUCUGCAGGAGGAUUUUUCAAGAAAAUGCAAAAAAAAGUGCGACGAAAUACAGAUCCUCUUGUGUUGACUGUUGAUGAAG
rnacentral:misc_RNA from 1 species